rnacentral:rRNA from 1 species
ACACCAUAGACUGUGAGUUGCGAACGGGUGAGUAACGCGUAGGUAACCUGCCUAUUAGAGGGGGAUAACUAUUGGAAACGAUAGCUAAUACCGCAUAACAGUAUGUAACACAUGUUAGAUGCUUGAAAGAUGCAAUUGCACCGCUAGUAGAUGGACCUGCGUUGUAUUAGCUAGUAGGUAGGGUAAAGGCCUACCUAGGCAACGGUACAUAGCCGACCUGAGAGGGUGAUCGGCCACACUGGGACUGAGACACGGCCCAGACUCCUACGGGAGGCAGCAGUAGGGAAUCUUCGGCAAUGGGGGGAACCCUGACCGAGCAACGCCGCGUGAGUGAAGAAGGUUUUCGGAUCGUAAAGCUCUGUUGUUAAGGAAGAACGAGUGUGAGAAUGGAAAGUUCAUACUGUGACGGUACUUAACCAGAAAGGGACGGCUAACUACGUGCCAGCAGCCGCGGUAAUACGUAGGUCCCGAGCGUUGUCCGGAUUUAUUGGGCGUAAAGCGAGCGCAGGCGGUUAGAAAAGUCUGAAGUGAAAGGCAGUGGCUCAACCAUUGUAGGCUUUGGAAACUGUUUAACUUGAGUGCAGAAGGGGAGAGUGGAAUUCCAUGUGUAGCGGUGAAAUGCGUAGAUAUAUGGAGGAACACCGGUGGCGAAAGCGGCUCUCUGGUCUGUAACUGACGCUGAGGCUCGAAAGCGUGGGGAGCGAACAGGAUUAGAUACCCUGGUAGUCCACGCCGUAAACGAUGAGUGCUAGGUGUUAGGUCCUUUCCGGGACUUAGUGCCGU